rnacentral:rRNA from 1 species
UUUCGAAAGUAAAUAGAUUAUACCAGAGUACUAUGAAUAUUAAUUUAAAACUCAAAGAACUUGGCGGUGCUUUAGACUUCUUAGGGGAAUCUGUCUCGUAAUCGACAACCCACGAAAAACCUAACUUUUUUUAGCUUCCAGUAUGUAUACCGCCGUCGUCAGGUAACUUUUUAGAAAAUAAAGGUUAACAAUAAAUAUUACUAAUAUUAAACGUCAGGUCAAGGUGCAACUUAUAAAAAAGGGAAGAUGGAUUACAAUUAAGAAUCAUAAUUACGAAUAUUAGAUAUAAUUUGUCUUAUUGAAGGAGGACUUAAAAGUAAAAAUUUUAUUAUAUAAAAUUUUUGAAUAUAGCUCUGAAGCGUGC